rnacentral:rRNA from 1 species
AUUGAACGCUGGCGGCAUGCCUUACACAUGCAAGUCGAGCGGCAGCGCGGGGGCAACCCUGGCGGCGAGCGGCGGACGGGUGAGUAAUACAUCGGAACGUGUCCUUUCGUGGGGGAUAACCAGUCGAAAGACUGGCUAAUACCGCAUGAGAUCUCACGAUGAAAGCGGGGGACCGCAAGGCCUCGCGCGAUUGGAGCGGCCGAUGUCGGAUUAGCUAGUUUGCGGGGUAAAAGCCCACCAAGGCGACGAUCCGUAGCUGGUUUGAGAGAACGACCAGCCACACUGGGACUGAGACACGGCCCAGACUCCUACGGGAGGCAGCAGUGGGGAAUUUUGGACAAUGGGGGCAACCCUGAUCCAGCCAUGCCGCGUGUGUGAAGAAGGCCUUCGGGUUGUAAAGCACUUUCGGCCGGAACGAAAUCGCGCGGAUUAAUAACCCGCGUGGAUGACGGUACCGGAAGAAGAAGCACCGGCUAACUACGUGCCAGCAGCCGCCGUAA